rnacentral:rRNA from 1 species
UGGGGAAUAUUGCACAAUGGGCGCAAGCCUGAUGCAGCCAUGCCGCGUGUAUGAAGAAGGCCUUCGGGUUGUAAAGUACUUUCAGCGGGGAGGAAGGGAGUAAAGUUAAUACCUUUGCUCAUUGACGUUACCCGCAGAAGAAGCACCGGCUAACUCCGUGCCAGCAGCCGCGGUAAUACGGAGGGUGCAAGCGUUAAUCGGAAUUACUGGGCGUAAAGCGCACGCAGGCGGUUUGUUAAGUCAGAUGUGAAAUCCCCGGGCUCAACCUGGGAACUGCAUCUGAUACUGGCAAGCUUGAGUCUCGUAGAGGGGGGUAGAAUUCCAGGUGUAGCGGUGAAAUGCGUAGAGAUCUGGAGGAAUACUGGUGGCGAAGGCGGCCCCCUGGACGAAGACUGACGCUCAGGUGCGAAAGUGUGGGGAGCAAACA